ACCCCCCACCCACGUCGGUGGCCACCAGCCGCGUCUCAGGCUGGGAGGCGCCGUGCAGCAUGGGUGGGCCAGUGCUGAUGCAUAAACAGCUGAGUCUCCAGUUUCCUGCUGUUUUCUGGCUAAUGAUCCUCUGUGACCAGAGCACUGUCCAGUUAGCAAAGUGACAGGAAACUGAGACCCAGAGAGGUGGAGCAAAAAUGCCCGAAAUUACGUAGUUGGUUAAGAGCAGAAUGGGGACUCGCACGUGCUUUCUGCUCUACGGUGCCACCUUCUCAAAGGAGGAAAUUUACCUGCCAGCCUUGCCCACAGGCCCAGACGGAGGAGUUCAACUUCUUCCCAGAGCUGGGGAGGGUCAUUGUCAGGAUGGAAAGAGAGAAUACCUGAGAAGCUGGUCUGGAAGAUAACCAGCAUCUGCAGGAUGCCAACACCUGCCAGCACUUCCCAUCCCUCCUGCCUUGUGAAAGAUGGAGAGGGCCAGUGGCCACGUGGCUGCAGGCGGCCUCGCUGGGUACCAGGCCCCAGAACAUCUCCAGGGAGACCUAUAGAAAGGUUCUCCGCAUGGGGAGCACUUCCCUCAUUGUCCCACAAUAGUUUUGUUUCUAGAGGAAGCCUAUGCAAGGAAGUUGGUGUUCUCUUUGAGCCUUGUUCUCUUUGAGUGGAGCCUGCAUGAUGGUUUCCUCCUGCUUUGUGGCUCUUCAUUGUCCUAAUUCCUUCAAUCCUGGAGUCCAGGAAAGACGUUCAGCGAACAGGCAGCUAACUGAUGUGGAAUUCGUCCGUUCAACACGUAUGUGCGUGUCCUGUUCACAAGAUGGGGUCUAAUGAGGCCUGUUUGUGGGGGUGGAACUCGGGGUCUCGCGUGGAGGAG
rnacentral:lncRNA from 1 species